rnacentral:rRNA from 1 species
CAGCAGCCACGGGAAUACGGAGGGUGCAAGCGUUAAUCGGAAUUACUGGGCGUAAAGCGCACGCAGGCGGUCUGACAAGUCAGAUGUGAAAUCCCCGGGCUUAACCUGGGAACUGCAUUUGAAACUGUCAGGCUGGAGUCUUGUAGAGGGGGGUGGAAUUCCAGGUGUAGCGGUGAAAUGCGUAGAGAUCUGGAGGAAUACCGGUGGCGAAGGCGGCCCCCUGGACAAAGACUGACGCUCAGGUGCGAAAGCGUGGGGAGCAAACAGGAUUAGAUACCCGCGUAGUCCCUGUCUCUUAACA